UUAUUUUUAAGUUCUAAUGUAGCAACAUUCUUUCUGGCGAAAUUGAUGGAUUGUGAGACAAUGAAUCAUAAGUUUUCUUAUGAAGCGAAAACGGCCCAGUUGCCGGUUGAAAAAGGGCUGAAAUUGAUAUCUAAUCUCGGGGUUUAUGUGACGAAUCAUAAUUCCUUUUUGACAGGGUGAAGGGUGAAGGUGUGUUAAAACUGAGUUUUGCCUAUCAUUGAUUGCGGUUCUUUUGUGUUUUGAUGCCAGCUUCAUCAGGUUGUGUUUUGAUGCAACUUAAUUAGAAUGCCAUCGUCAGACCGCCUAUCGAAGGAUUUGGUCGGUAAUUACAUCAAAACUCGAGCAACGACAACGUGUGAGGUAGCGGUGGAGGUAAACCGACAAAUUUUGGU